AGUGAACGCUGGCGGUAGGCCUAACACAUGCAAGUCGAACGGCAGCACAGUAAGAGCUUGCUCUUACGGGUGGCGAGUGGCGGACGGGUGAGGAAUACAUCGGAAUCUACUUUUUCGUGGGGGAUAACGUAGGGAAACUUACGCUAAUACCGCAUACGACCUACGGGUGAAAGCAGGGGAUCUUCGGACCUUGCGCGAUUGAAUGAGCCGGUGUCGGAUUAGCUAGUUGGCGGGGUAAAGGCCCACCAAGGCGACGAUCCGUAGCUGGGUCGAGAGGAAGACGCGGCACACUGUACCUGAGACACGGGCCCGACCCCUACGGGCGGCGGCGUUCGGGAAGAUUGGAAAAAGGGCGCGAGCCUAAUACUGCCAUACCGCGUGGGGGAAGAAGGCCUUCGGGUUGUAAAGGCCUUUUGUUGGGAAAGAAAAGCAGGCGGUUAAUACCCCGCUGUUCUGGCAGUACCCAAAGAAUUAGCCCCGGCUAACUUCGUG
rnacentral:rRNA from 1 species